rnacentral:rRNA from 1 species
AUUGAACGCUGGCGGCAGGCCUAACACAUGCAAGUCGAACGGUAACAGGAAGAAGCUUGCUUCUUUGCUGACGAGUGGCGGACGGGUGAGUAAUGUCUGGGAAACUGCCUGAUGGAGGGGGAUAACUACUGGAAACGGUAGCUAAUACCGCAUAACGACGCAAGACCAAAGUGGAGGACCUUCGGGCCGCUUGCCAUCCGAUGUGCCCAGAUGGGAUUAGCUAGUAGGUGGGGUAACGGCUCACCUAGGCGACGAUCCCUAGCUGGUCUGAGAGGAUGACCAGCCACACUGGAACUGAGACACGGUCCAGACUCCUACGGGAGGCAGCAGUGGGGAAUAUUGCACAAUGGGCGAAAGCCUGAUGCAGCAAUGCCGCGUGUAUGAAGAAGGCCUUCGGGUUGUAAAGUACUUUCAUCGGGGAGGAAGGGAGUAAAGUUAAUACCUUUACUCAUUGACGUUACCCGAAGAAGAAGCAACGGCUAACUCCGUG